rnacentral:rRNA from 1 species
CUACGGGAUGCACCAGUGAGGAAUUUUGCGCAAUGGGGGAAACCCUGACGCAGCGACGCCGCGUGGGUGAUGAAGGCUUUCGAGUCGUAAAGCCCUGUCAAGUGGGAAGAAAGGCAUGGUGGUGAACAGCCAUCGUGUUUGACGGUACCACUAAAGGAAGCACCGGGUAACUCCGUGCCAGCAGCCGCGGUAAUACGGAGGGUGCAAGCGUUGUUCGGAAUUACUGGGCGUAAAGGGCGCGUAGGCGGCGCUGUAAGUCAGAUGUGAAAGUCCACGGCUCAACCGUGGAAGUGCAUCUGAUACUGCAGUGCUUGAGUAUCGGAGGGGAAAGUAGAAUUCCCGGUGUAGAGGUGAAAUUCGUAGAUAUCGGGAGGAAUACCGGUGGCGAAGGCGACUUUCUGGACGAAUACUGACGCUGAGGCGCGAAAGCGUGGGGAGCAAACAGGAUUAGAUACCCGAGUAGUC